UUACGGUUAUAUCACGACGUAACACCGGUUCUCGUACGAUCACCAAAGUUAGGCAACGUCGAGAGCUUGGUCAGUGCCUAGAUAGGUGACCGCUCGGAAAUACUAAGUGUUGUAAG